UACGGAGGGUGCGAGCGUUGUCCGGAAUCAUUGGGCGUAAAGGGCGCGUAGGUGGCCCGGUCAGUCAGUGGUGAAAGCGCGGGGCUCAACUCCGCGUCGGCCAUUGAUACUGCUGGGCUGGAGCACUGUAGAGGCAGGCGGAAUUCCGGGUGUAGCGGUGGAAUGCGUAGAGAUCCGGAAGAACACCGGUGGCGAAGGCGGCCUGCUGGGCAGUUGCUGACACUGAGGCGCGACAGCGUGGGGAGCGAACAGG
rnacentral:rRNA from 1 species